rnacentral:rRNA from 1 species
CCCUUAGAUGUUCUGGGCGGCCCGCGCACUACACUGGCACUCUCAAUCAGAGCCUGGAUCUAACACUUUGGGGUAUUCUAUGAAGUGGUGUCGUGACUGGGAUUAACCCUUGCAAUUAUUGGUUACGAACGAGGAAUUCCUUGUAAUCGCGGUUUAUCAGCCCGCGUUGAAUGCGUCCCUGCCCUUUGUACACACCGCCCGUCGCUCCUACCGAUGAAUCGUCCGGUGAAGUUCAUGAAGUGGUGGUUGUUCCAGCUGCUGUCGAAGUGAAAUGGACCUCACGAUUUAGAGGAAGGAGAAGUCGUAACA